AUUGAACGCUGGCGGCAGGCCUAACACAUGCAAGUCGAGCGAGCGGCGGACGGGUGAGUACUGUCUGGGCACCUGCCUGAUGGAGGGGGAUAACUACUGGAACCGGUAGCUACUACCGCAUACCAUCAGAUGUGCCCAGAUUGGAUUAGCUAGUAGGUUGGGUAACGGCUCACCUAGGCGACGAUCCCUAGCUGGUCUGAGAGGAUGACCAUCCACACUGGAACUGAGACACGGGCCAGACUCCUACGGGAGGCAGCAGGGGGGAAUAUUGCACAAUGGGCGCAAGCCUGAUGCAGCCAUGCCGCGUGUGUGAAGAAGGCCUUCGGGUUGUAAAGCACUGUCAGCGGGGAGGAGUUACCCGCAGAAGAAGCACCGGAUAACUCCGGGCCAGCAGCCGCGGUAAUUC
rnacentral:rRNA from 1 species